UACGUAGGGGGCAAGCGUUGUCCGGAAUCAUUGGGCGUAAAGAGCGUGUAGGCGGCCCGAUAAGUCCGCUGUGAAAGUCCAGGGCUCAACCCUGGAAUGCCGGUGGAUACUGUCGGGCUCGAAUCCGGAAGAGGUGAGUGGAAUUCCUGGUGUAGCGGUGAAAUGCGUAGAUAUUGGGAGGAACACCGGUGGCGAAGGCGGCUACCUGGACCGGUUCUGACGCUGAUGCGCGAAAGCGUGGGUAGCAAACAGG
rnacentral:rRNA from 1 species